rnacentral:rRNA from 1 species
AUGGGCUUUGGGUUAUGUAGAUCAAAAAUGAUGAAUGGGAUUGUGGCACUCCACUCGCCGCCAAUGCGGAAGGAUGCCGCCGAAAAGAAUGGAACACUGCUUCACUCUGCUGGAUGCGUCGGAUCCCAUAUAAGAAGCUCGCUGUUUACCCGAUCAUUCAAACAUUUUGUGGGCGGCGCGCCUGCUCUAUUGUUGCGUAGCAAUAGAAGCCUGCUCAUGCUGCUUCGGCGGCGCUUUUUUGCCUUCUCUUCGCUCUGGACAGGAGCGCUAAUGGACACGGGGAGGGAGCAGGCGAAGCGUGUCGUUCGUAAUGGAAAGAAAGACACCACUACUUCGCCUCUUUGUUGGACCGCCGACGUGAACACGGUGGUCUCUGACCAGGACCAGGAACCAAUUCGAAUUUGGAUCUUGACAUGUCGGUUGUUUUUAACCGUAGGCAUCUCGCUAGGAAGUUGGUGGGCUCAUCAUGAAUUAGGUCGGGGUGGCUGGUGGUUUCGGGAUCCCGUAGAAAAUGCGUCUUUUAUGCCUCGGAUAUUAGCCACAGCUCGUAUUCAUUCAGUAAUUCUACCCCUUCUUCAUUCUUGGACCUCGCUUCUGAAUAUUUUGACUCUUCCAUGCUGUGUCUUAGGAACCUUUUCAAUACGGUCCGGAUUGCUAGCUCCCGUUCAUAGUUCCGCUACAGACGAUACACGAGGAAGAUUUUUAUGGCGGUUCUUCCUUCUAAUUACAGGCAUAUCUAUGACUCUUUUUUACCAGAUGAAGCAGGAGGCAUUGGUCCGUAGAACCUAUAAAAAAGAGAUGGUUGUGGCGCGAAGUACUCUUGUGCACCUAUGUCACUCGGCUCGCGCGCAACCCCGCCCCGUUAUGUUAUGUUAUGGAAGAAUUUAG